CAUAUCAAUAAGCGGAGGAAAAGAAACCAACAGGGAUUGCUCUAGUAACGGCGAGUGAAGCAGCAAUAGCUCAAAUUUGAAAUCUGGCGUCUUCGACGUCCGAGUUGUAAUUUGUAGAGGAUGCUUCUGAGUAACCACCGACCUAAGUUCCUUGGAACAGGACGUCAUAGAGGGUGAGAAUCCCGUAUGCGGUCGGAAAGGUGCUCUAUACGUAGCUCCUUCGACGAGUCGAGUUGUUUGGGAAUGCAGCUCUAAAUGGGAGGUAAAUUUCUUCUAAAGCUAAAUAUUGGCCAGAGACCGAUAGCGCACAAGUAGAGUGAUCGAAAGAUGAAAAGCACUUUGGAAAGAGAGUUAAAAAGCACGUGAAAUUGUUAAAAGGGAAGGGAUUGCAACCAGACUUGCUCGCGGUGUUCCGCCGGUCUUCUGACCGGUCUACUCGCCGCGUUGCAGGCCAGCAUCGUCUGGUGCCGCUGGAUAAGACUUGAGGAAUGUAGCUCCCUCGGGAGUGUUAUAGCCUCUUGUGAUGCAGCGAGCGCCGGGCGAGGUCCGCGCUUCGGCUAGGAUGCUGGCGUAAUGGUCGUAUCCGCCCGUCUUAAACCGACGGGCGU
rnacentral:rRNA from 1 species